AUGCACUAUGUAGCCCAGGCUGGCCUAGAACUCCUGGUGAUCCUCCUGUCUCAGCCUCCUGAGUGCUGGGAUUACAGGAGUGGGCUUCUUCUUUUUAUUUUUAUUUUCACAUCAGCCUUGACCACCCUGAAUAACUGUACUGUUCUUUUCUUAGAUGUUAGUAUGCCAUCCGCAUGGAGAAACAUCACCAAUUUUGGCCCUAGGGAAUGCCCAGGACGUGAUCUUGCAACGGUACAUGCCUGCUGGAGGCCUUGGUUCAGACAAGGAGGACUCGGAGAAAGGGUUGCUAAUGCUCUUCUCCCCGAGCUCUAAUCCCUUUGCUUCUUCCUGAAUAAGAAUCUGAGUCUGUGGUCCUUUCCCACCUGGCUGGUAGUUGUCAACCCGCUCCACCAAGAGAUUCUACAGCUCUCCCUUGGAAGGGAGCUAGGAGAAUACUACGAAAAGAAAAAUUUGCAUGCCAGGAGGGGUGGCACGCACCUGUAAUCCCAGCACUCUGGAGGCUGAGGCAGGAGGAUCGGUGCGAGUUGGAGACCAGCCUGAGCUGCACAGUGAGUUCCAGGUCAAGUCUCAACUACAUAGUGAGACCCUGUCUCAAAAAAAACCAAAACAACCCCCCGCAAAAAAAUGAAAGUUAAAUUAAAACAAUAUGCAACUCACACAAGUAUUUGGAAAAUGUUAUUGCUGUAGUCAAAGUAUGUUAUAUAUUACUGUAUGUUGAACACAGUACGUAGCUUCUAACAGUGUUAAGAAAUAAUAGUAUUUUGUGAAAUCUAAAAAUAUUCUAAACCUAUUGUACUGCUACAAAAUAGGAAGCUGUAUUUUUUUUGGUUUUUUGAGACAGGGUCUCACUAUGUAGUUCAGACUACUCUGGAACUCACUGUGUGCCCAGGCUGGUCUCGAACUCACAGUGAUCCUCCUGCCUCAACCUCCCCAGUGCUGGGGUUACAGGCGUGUGCCAUCAUGCCCGGCUAGGAAGCUGUAUUUUUAACUACUAUGACAAUUAAGGAAAGGUGGACAUAAGAAAAUGUAAGUGGGAAAGGAUACUGUAUCAGCUGCUGAGCCACAAUGUGAGAAAGCAAAGAUACAGUUUGAAUCUAUUAUGACAAAAUGAACACCACACUGAUGUGUUAAAGCAUGGCAGGUAUUUACUGGCAAAAUAUCCGUGCCAGACAUGCUAUUAAACACAGAGAUGAAAAGACAAAACAGAGUAACAGUAACAGAAAAUAACUGCUGCCUUCCUGAAAGCUCAGGUUGUUAGUGGCUUAUUAGCACAUAGUUAACUAAACUGGCUGAAUUAUCAUAAAAACAGUGCUGGAAAAUUAUGAUGGUGAUGUCAACUGACGAUUGGUACUGAAAUGACAAAUUUAAGAGACUUUAAGAGCUUUUAAGCUGUGUGAGCCAUGUGGUUCACACUCUGGCCAGGUUUCUGUCAAUCUGAAACACUUCACGCAAUUCACAUGAAAGAUCUUUUGCUACAACUGAACUUGGCAUUAGCUUAUCUGGUGGUUCAAGUUGAAGCAGUUGCAUUAUUUUGCCAAAAUUAUCAGGAUAAGUCAUUCAAUUACUUUGGACACUUCAGAGUGCUGUGGUCUAAUGGAUUAAACAGGUGAAUGCAGCCUGGGAAAGUUGUGUUAUUAAAAUAUAAUGAUAUGUUGCAUGAUUUCAGUACCAAGUUUUGGGAACACUUGUGAAAGUGUUUUCCAUGAAGACAUACUCUGCUUUCCCAGUGAUAAGAUGGGAAAACCCUUUAAAUUUCCUACUUCAGUGAUAAAAUGACCCUAUGUUACUAUGUGGCUUUGGAUUAGGGGGGAAAAAAGGCCAUAGCAUGACAGUAACAUAGUAGAAAAUCACAUACUUUUAUUCCUGUCUCUUGUCAAGGAGGAAAUAGACAAGUUUGGUUUAUGGAGAUCAUGGCAUUGGGCUUGUCAGGAAAUCAGCCUAAAGGCUUGUCUUGUAUUUACCGGUCUUCCUGGACUUGCUAAUACUGUAAGAAUGUCACAGAUAUCAAGGAAAUGGGAUGGAGCGGUGUAUGGCAGGAAGUGACAGCCAUGUUCACCAGGUGUUUUGGAUUCACCCAGUUUCCUUCCUGGUAUCUGACAUCUCUUGAGCCCCUUAUGGUUAGGUGGGGUUAUGUGACUAAGACACAUGUUGCAUGUUUGCCUAUGUGGAGCAUUUGACUACUAGAGACACCCGAGCUCUCUUUCCAUACAGCACAAUAAGCAGUAACACUUGAGAUAUGACUUCUCCAUUGGCCUUUCUGCCCAGUGACUACUAUGAGUGGAGCAUUCUACUGAACUGUGAUGGGUGUGCAUCAGUUUUAAGCAGGUGUUUGCAAAUUUUUUUUCUUUUAAAGGAAGAGAUAGUAUUUUAAGUUCUGCACACCCUACUGUCUAUGUUACAACCACUCAACUCUGUUCUAUGUGUACAGAAAAUAUGUGCUUGAGUGGAUAUGGCUGGAUCCCAGUAAAAUUUUAUUUAUAAAAACAGAUGAAAGGCCUUGGCCACAAGACUGUAGUUUGCAGAUUGCUGUGAGUCACGGAACUCUGAGAGUUUCUGUUGCAACAUAACCUAGCCUAUCUUAAUACCCUAUGGGCUAUAAGAUGGGACAAAAUAUUGUGCCAGUCAUACUAUUGCUUGAGGUCUUUCUUGACAUCCUCUGGGAUAAGAUGAACUUCCCAUUGAGACUCUUUGUCAUAUGCAUUGACUCAUGUGUCCUGCUCCCCCCGCCAAAAUAUUUUCUUUCCCUUGAUGAAAGCCUUAUUUAGCUUCCAGGAGUCUUGACCAUAGUAAAGUAACUGCUACUAGGUAAUACGCCAAGGAAAGGCAUAAGGGGCUUUUCUUUGGUACAGUUUAUCAUAAACCAUUUUCAACUCAAAACAAGUAUUAAGAGGCCUCUAAGUCCUUGGUUCUUAUACUUUCACAAGCAUCAAUAUCUCCUAGAGGGCUUGUUAAAGCUCAGCAUUGGUGGGUUCAACCACAGGAGACUCUGAGUUGUAGGGUUGGGGAGCAUUUGUCUACCAGGACAUUUCAUGUUUGUUCUCAAAGUGAUUGGUCAAGUAUUGAGGAAUCAAGCAGUGGUUUUUCAACUUUAAUGUACAUAGAAACCUCCUGAAGAUUGUUAAAAUGUGUAUUAAUUCAGUAGGUCUGUGUUGGGAUCUGAGGUAGUGGGGAUUAUGGUACUGAUGGUUGGGGUGAACACACUUGGAAUUGCAAGGAGCUACGGACUGUCAUUUUCUUUCUAGCCUCCUGGCCUUGCAUAAUUGUUUACUAUCAUGCCAAGUAUGUAACUAUUCAAUAACUUUAGCUCAACUUUCCCUUCUCUCAUCUUACAAUUAGUCAGCAUAACACAUUACAAUAAUAGGAGAAUCCAACCUUGUCAUCGCCUUCAGUGUGACCCUGACCCUAGAUACCACCACAUAAGGCAAUACCUCCUUCUUGGUCUCCUAGCUUCUGCAUUUUUUUUUUUUUUUGAGGCAGGGUCUCAAUAUGUAUGUAGUUCAGGGUGGCCUUGAACUCUUGGCAAUCCUCUCGUCUCAGUCUCUUGAAUGCUGGGAUUACAGGUGUGUGUCCCCAUGAUGUGCUUGGUUUCUAGCUUCAGCUUUUGCUCCAUCCUUUUUCCUUUUUCUUUUUUUGGUACCAGGAAUUGGACUCAGGACCUUGUGCUUGCAAGGCAGGCAUGGCGCCAUUGAGCUAAAAUCCUGGGCCCUGCUUCAUCGUUUUUCUCAUCUCUACUAUAUGUUGUCUAUAAACUGUGCAGCAGCAAGAGUGGUUAAAAGCACAGGUUGAUCAUGAACCUAAGACUUCCCAUUUCACUCUGUAUUAUGACAAAGUCCUCACGGUGGCUUAUCAGGCUCUACAAGACCGGCUCCCCUUUUCUGCCACUAACAUCUUCCACUCUGGUCUUGGCCCCGUGGCCUCCUUGUUGAUCCUUGAACCCAGCAAGCAUACUUUUUUUUUUUUUUUUUUGAGACAAGGAUUCGCCAUGUGGUUUAGGUUGGCUUUAAACUCACUAUGUAGUGCAGGCUGGCCUUGAACUCACAGCGAUUCUCCUGCCUCAAUCUUCCAAGUGCUGGGAUUACAGCGUGAGCCACCCAUGCAGCACAUGUACUGCCUAUCAGAUCUUGGUCCUUGGUAUUCCUUCUCCUGGAAAAUUCUUCCUCCAGGCUAGAUGCUUGGCCUUCUUCCUCACUUCCUUCAGAGCUGGCUGACGUGUCACUCAGUACGGCUCCCCCCCACUCUAUUUUCUUUUUUAUCAUUUCAUUAUCCGAUACAUAUUUUUUCCCUUUUACUUAGAAUGUAUGCUAUAUUGAUUCUUUUGUUGUUCACAAUCCCUAGCACUGAAGAGUCCCUAGCACAAUCAGGUGCUCAACAAAUAUUUGAAUGAAUAGAUAACAGACUUUGCAGCUACUGCAGUAUCUCAAGGCCAGAGGCAGCUGUUGUUUCUCCAGGUUCCCCGAGGAUGCACUGUAUUACUCAGGAGCCAGUAUUACUCAUUUCAUUCCCCAGGAAACAGUGGGCUUGGUAGAACUCUUUCUAAAUCUCCUUUUCAUAGAAUUAAAUUUACAAACUGGUCAUUCUCUAUUGCCAUACAUUAUGUUGCGGAAUUUUCUACUUGUUAUAUUCCCUUUAAUACAUUUUCCUCCAGCACUUGGGUACUCAUUUUCUGUUCCCUGUCCAAACCUAUCCUACCCCAAGUCUGGAAUAAUUCUUAUCAAUUUUUUUUGUUUUGUAUUUCAUUCAAGCUUUUCUUUAAAGUUUUUCGUAAAUUUAAAACAAAAGGAAGAAAGCCUAGUAAUUCGUAAUAUUCAGGCCUGUUAAACAUACAUCUCAGGGUAGCUGAAGAUGAUUUUUUUUUAACAUGAGCCUGGAGUUAAGACUUCAAAACCAACCAUAGUCCCUCCCGACACGUUCUGCAGAGUACACCUCGGUUGCUGGGCGAUUGUUUUUUGGGAAGCGCCGCUGUCUUUUUUCAGAAAAACCUUUCAGGAUGACAGUCUGCUCGCUCCGCACACCAAGGAAUUCUAGAAGCUGAGAUCGCACCCCUACUCGCAGAAAGCUCGAGCCCCCCCACCCCCAAAUAAGGGAUCUCCAAGGGGCAGUCGCCAGCUCCAAAGCCAGCUGCUAGACACCUAUUGUCCCCGCCUGGACGUCAAAAGACUUCGCCUGAAGGACCCCGACCUCGAAUCCG
ensembl:lincRNA